rnacentral:rRNA from 1 species
UACGUAGGGUGCGAGCGUUGUCCGGAAUUAUUGGGCGUAAAGAGCUCGUAGGCGGUUUGUCGCGUCGGCUGUGAAAGCCCGGAGCUCAACUCCGGGUCUGCAGUCGAUACGGGCAGACUUGAGUGUUGCAGGGGAGACUGGAAUUCCUGGUGUAGCGGUGAAAUGCGCAGAUAUCAGGAGGAACACCGGUGGCGAAGGCGGGUCUCUGGGCAACAACUGACGCUGAGGAGCGAAAGCGUGGGGAGCGAACAGG